UUGUCUCACACACACACACACACACACACAGACACACACACACGCGUGUCAUGAGAUCGAGGGAAACAGAGUCCGUCCCAUUUCCCGGCAGCUCACACGGCGCCGAGGCGUUCCGGUUGGUGAGCUCAUUCAAGAAACACUCUUUAUUAAAAGAAUGAAAGAAAGCCACAGAAAAGACUCACCCACGAUGUCCUACAU